CAGGCUUAACACAUGCAAGUCGAGGGGCAGCAUGGUCUUAGCUUGCUAAGGCCGAUGGCGACCGGCGCACGGGUGAGUAACACGUAUCCAACCUGCCGUCUACUCUUGGACAGCCUUCUGAAAGGAAGAUUAAUACAAGAUGGCAUCAUGAGUCCGCAUGUUCACAUGAUUAAAGGUAUUCCGGUAGACGAUGGGGAUGCGUUCCAUUAGAUAGUAGGCGGGGUAACGGCCCACCUAGUCUUCGAUGGAUAGGGGUUCUGAGAGGAAGGUCCCCCACAUUGGAACUGAGACACGGUCCAAACUCCUACGGGAGGCAGCAGUGAGGAAUAUUGGUCAAUGGGCGCAGGCCUGAACCAGCCAAGUAGCGUGAAGGAUGACUGCCCUAUGGGUUGUAAACUUCUUUUAUAAAGGAAUAAAGUCGGGUAUGGAUACCCGUUUGCAUGUACUUUAUGAAUAAGGAUCGGCUAACUCCGUGCCAGCAGCCGCGGUAAUACGGAGGAUCCGAGCGUUAUCCGGAUUUAUUGGGUUUAAAGGGAGCGUAGAUGGAUGUUUAAGUCAGUUGUGAAAGUUUGCGGCUCAACCGUAAAAUUGCAGUUGAUACUGGAUAUCUUGAGUGCAGUUGAGGCAGGCGGAAUUCGUGGUGUAGCGGUGAAAUGCUUAGAUAUCACGAAGAACUCCGAUUGCGAAGGCAGCCUGCUAAGCUGCAACUGACAUUGAGGCUCGAAAGUGUGGGUAUCAAACAGGAUUAGAUACCCUGGUAGUCCACACGGUAAACGAUGAAUACUCGCUGUUUGCGAUAUACGGCAAGCGGCCAAGCGAAAGCGUUAAGUAUUCCACGUGGGGAGUACGCCGGCAACGGUGAAACUCAAAGGAAUUGACGGGGGCCCGCACAAGCGGAGGAACAUGUGGUUUAAUUCGAUGAUACGCGAGGAACCUUACCCGGGCUUAAAUUGCAGAUGAAUUACGGUGAAAGCUGUAAGCCGCAAGGCAUCUGUGAAGGUGCUGCAUGGUUGUCGUCAGCUCGUGCCGUGAGGUGUCGGCUUAAGUGCCAUAACGAGCGCAACCCUUGUUGUCAGUUACUAACAGGUUCCGCUGAGGACUCUGGCAAGACUGCCAUCGUAAGAUGUGAGGAAGGUGGGGAUGACGUCAAAUCAGCACGGCCCUUACGUCCGGGGCUACACAAGUGUUACAAUGGGGGGUACAGAGGGCCGCUACCACGCGAGUGGAUGCCAAUCCCCAAAACCUCUCUCAGUUCGGAUUGGAGUCUGCAACCCGACUCCACGAAGCUGGAUUCGCUAGUAAUCGCGCAUCAGCCACGGCGCGGUGAAUACGUUCCCGGGCCUUGUACACACCGCCCGUCAAGCCAUGGGAGCCGGGGGUACCUGAAGUGCGUAACCGCGAGGAGCGCCCUAGGGUAAAACUGGUGACUGGGGCU
rnacentral:rRNA from 1 species